GACCCCGUAGCUCAGCUGGAUAGAGCACUCGCCUUCUAAGCGAGAUGUCGCCGGUUCAAGUCCGGCCGGGGUCGCCA
rnacentral:tRNA from 1 species